UACGUAGAUGGCAAGCGUUGUCCGGAUUUACUGGGCGUAAAGAGCGCGCAGGCGGUCGUUCAAGUCGCGUGUGAAAGCCCCCGGCUCAACUGGGGAGGGUCACGCGAUACUGAUCGACUCGAAGGCAGGAGAGGGUAGUGGAAUUCCCGGUGUAGUGGUGAAAUGCGUAGAUAUCGGGAGGAACACCAGUGGCGAAGGCGACUACCUGGCCUGUUCUUGACGCUGAGGCGCGAAAGCUAGGGGAGCAAACGGG
rnacentral:rRNA from 1 species